UGGGGCUACACACGUCAUACAAUGGCUGGUACGAAAGGGUUGCCAACCCGCGAGGGGGAGCCAAUCCCAUAAAGCCAGUCGUAGUCCGGAUCGCAGUCUGCAACUCGACUGCGUGAAGUCGGAAUCGCUAGUAAUCGUGGAUCAGCAUGUCACGGUGAAUACGUUCCCGGGUCUU
rnacentral:rRNA from 1 species